ensembl:lncRNA
GUUUUUAUUGAGGUAUAAUUGAUAUAUGACAUUAAACUAGUUUCAGGUGGACAGCGUAGUGAUUUGAUAUUUGUAUACAUUGCAAAAUAUCACCAUAAGUCUAGUUAAUAUCCAUCACCAUACAUAGUUACAAAAACUUUUUUCCUGAGAAUUGACUUACUCUCAGCAACUUUCAAAUAUGCAAUACAGUAUUAUUAUUAACUAUGGUCACCAUGCUGUACAUUACAUCCCUGUGACAUUUAUUUUAUAACUGCAAGUUUGUACUUUUUGACCUCCUUCACCCAUUUCUCUCACCACACCCCCACUGCCUCUGGCAACCACCAAUCUAUUCUCUGUAUCUAUGUGCUUGGUUGGUUUGUUUUUUAGAUUCUACAUAUAAGUGAGAUCACAUGGUGUUUCUCUUUCUCUGUCUGACUUAUUUCACUUAACAUAAUGCCAUCAAAUGAUGUUGUCGCAAAUGGCAAGAUCUUAUUCUUUUUUAUGGCUGAAUAAUAUUCCAUUGUGUCUAUGUGUAUUAUAUAUAUGGAUAUAAUACACACAUACCACAUUUUCUUUAUCCAUUCAUCCAUUGAUGGACACUUAGGUUGUUUCCAUAUCUUGGCUAUUGUAAAUAAUGCUACAAUGAACAUGGGGGUGCUAUGUUGUUGUUGACCUUGUUCUAAAAUGCCUACUUCCACUCUCCUGCCUUAGGAACUGGUGAUGGAAUUGGGAUCUCCUAGUUGAGGAGUAGCGCUGGCAGGGCCUAGGGCUCCACUACUCCAGGCAAUAUCACCUUCCAUCCAGAAUCCUGACCUGUAGCUAGAACAGGGUUAGCUGACGGUGUCCUGAACCCAGGAAGCUUGGAGGCAGGCUGGUGCAUGCAGAAUUGACAAUGGUAUGCCUCUUUCCCUCCACACUAUUGACUGGGAAGAAAUUAAGUUUUAAUGAAUUUGAACCUAGUUAGGCUGAACUUUCCUUAGCAUAAAAGGCUGAAAUAUCAAGGCAGUGUCCAGAGCUUCAGCAACUCUCAUGUCCCAGCAAGACAAGUCACAAACCCCUCUGGCCUCCUUGCCAGACUACCUUUUUAACUCUCAAGAGGGUUCAGAGGAUGAAUGACCCCUUAGUCAUCCUUGAAGAAACCUGGCUAAAAAUCCUAUGUGCUCCUCUUGAUUAGUUACUUCAGACUAAAGAUGGGCUUUUCAAAUAGGGAGCUAUUUUCCUCAGUAUGACUUUAAAAGGAGUCUAGUUUUCCCCAUGCUCAGCUCCCCCCACCCCACCCAUCACCCCAUCACUAGACACUGUCUCUAGUGAGGAGGGGGCAGAGCAGCACGACAGCUGAUGAUCUGCUGUUAGGAUACUAACAUUUCUCUAUCCUGUUACCAGGCAUAGCAUUAACAGCAAGGACACAGUGCAACCCACUAGCUAGUCUUGCAUACAAGACCUGGAAAAUAAAGAAUACUAAAAGUGAGAGGAUGGAAACAAAGCAAUAAGCUGAGACCAGAGCUUGGCACAUGGUCCACGCUGAAGGGAGCGAAUGCAGUAUUAACUUUCCUAAGAUAUUCUAGCAAUAAUGAAAUAGCUUCUCCCACUGUGGUUUAAAAUCUCAACAGCAAAUAGAUUUGCAUGUUGUGUUUUUCUGUUAUGACAUUACCUGUUCAAUAUGCUAAACCAACCCCUUUUUUCCUUCUGAUUUUAGGUUUGGUUUAAGAAUAGGAAGGACAAGUGUUGGAGACAUGAGAGGGCUUUAGUCCUCAGAACUAUGUCACCCGUUGCCAUGGGUCACCCUGUCAUCAUAAUCUUGGAUGGACUCUAUAAUGCCAUGUUUGUUCUGGAGCCCAAAUGGAGUUGGGU